rnacentral:tRNA from 1 species
AAACUAACUGUUGGAGGUUCGAUUCCUUCCCUUCUCG